GAUGAACGCUGGCGGCGUGCUUAACACAUGCAAGUCAAACGAUGAAGCUCAGCUUGCUGGGUGGAUUAGUGGCGAACGGGUGAGUAACACGUGAGUAACCUGCCCUUAACUCUGGGAUAAGCCUGGGAAACUAGGUCUAAUACCGGAUAGGAGCGCCUACCGCAUGGUGGGUGUUGGAAAGAUUUAUCGGUUUUGGAUGGACUCGCGGCCUAUCAGCUUGUUGGUGAGGUAAUGGCUCACCAAGGCGACGACGGGUAGCCGGCCUGAGAGGGUGACCGGCCACACUGGGACUGAGACACGGCCCAGACUCCUACGGGAGGCAGCAGUGGGGAAUAUUGCACAAUGGGCGAAAGCCUGAUGCAGCGACGCCGCGUGAGGGAUGACGGCCUUCGGGUUGUAAACCUCUUUCAGUAGGGAAGAAGCGAAAGUGACGGUACCUGCAGAAGAAGCACCGGCUAACUACGUG
rnacentral:rRNA from 1 species